CCUGGACCUGGAUCUAUCCCUGGACUUGGAUCUACCCCUGGACUUGGAUCUACCCCUGGACCUGGAUCUAUCCCUGGACUUGGAUCUACCCCUGGACUUGGAUCUACCCCUGGACUUGGAUCUACCCCUGGACUUGGAUCUAUCCCUGGACUUGGAUCUAUCCCUGGACCUGGAUCUAUCCCUGGACCUGGAUCUAUCCCUGGACCUGGAUCUAUCCCUGGACUUGGAUCUAUCCCUGGACUUGGAUCUACCCCUGGACUUGGAUCUACCCCUGGACCUGGAUCUAUCCCUGGACUUG
rnacentral:lncRNA from 1 species